CAAACCAACUUUAUCAGCUGUGAAUCGGGCGACCGUCAGGCGUGAGGUGAGACAUGGCACGGUGAUCGUGAGAGUCCAUGGUGUGAUUGGCGAUAAGGAGAGAGGCAAGGAAGAGCAAUCUCGAAUCAUGGAGGGGAGGUAGUCGGGCUUGGAGGAAGCGAAACGAGGUGGGUUAAGGACAAGUUCAGGAGAAUUGUCUGACCGAGAUGAGAUCAACGACACCAAGACCAAAUCUACAACAUAGCCCGGUCUAGACCGAGACCAUUUCAUCAACACCAAGACGGAAUCUACAGCUAACAUAGCCCGGUCUAGACUCCAUCUCCCCAAGUCAAUCAAUCAUCAUACUCGCAACCUUGGUGAAACAGGGACAGAGACACGGACAGAGACAUUGUCAGACAUGGAGAGACCCGCAGAGAGACAUGGGGGAGCAAGAGCGGGAAGAACAGGAGCAAGAACGGAAGGGCUUUCUGGGACUAUCAACAGUGCACAUGCCCCUCUUAACCUUUUGUCAACGUCUCCAAUAUGAAAUUCAAAUGGCAGAACUGAGACCUGGUGGAGAUUAUUCACUGAUGACGGACAUUUUUGACGGGAACGGAAAAUUGAACGGAAAAUGGUGAUAUUCAGGAAACUCCAGCAGAUGAUAGAUGAGCUUGGUAACUUCUAGACGGCAACAAAAAUGGUUUUGACAGAUAAAACUAGAUACGCAGGACGUAUAACGAAUCCGAGUUGGCAGGACGAGUGGCAAUUCUACCGUGGAUCGAUCGAUUAAGGCAUCAAUACACCUACCUGUGUCACUUUGUUCGAUCGAGUAGGUUCAAUAUGUUGAACUUAUUUGUCAGGUUAGAUCAAGAUUGUCUACAGAGACCCUUGGAAGACUCUUUAUUGGCCCACAAGUAAACAAUUCUCGCCAGUAUUUUGACAUUCGAUCAACGAGAAUGUGGAGAUUCAAUCCAACAACUUUUUCUCUGGAGUUUGUUCCCACUUGUGGUGCCAUUUCAGCCCAAAGAUCGCUCAUUUUUGACAAUGUCCCACCUGCUAAAUGUGGUGGACGAUACUCCGCCUAAAAUAUUUGAAACUUGGCAGUUGUGGCAAUCUCGUGGACAAUCUCGUUCAAAAUAAAUGCUUUUAUUUCUUCCCUGAGAGUUGCUCUUUCCGCUCAUUUAUUUGACGUAUUUUUUCCACCCAUAUUUCAGGAGGAUAUUAUGUCAAAAAUGGAACCAGUCCAACUACCAAAUGAGGAAGAUAGCAAUACCAAAAGUGCCACAAUGCCCAAACAGGAGAGAGAUACGAAUCCACCGUCACUUGGUCUCCUAUUGCAUGUGCUCGUACUACUACGCUGACCCUGUGACUUCCCGGAGGGGUGCUCAUUUAUAGGUCCUGAUGGGAAUGUUGUGUUUCUGGUGAAAAGGGCGGAUGGAAGUAGCCCAAAUUUUUGAGAGGACGGAUACGUCUUGUUUGCUAGCGUCCGUGGUCAAUUCUGGUUCAAUCCAAUCGAAGAUGCUGUUCAUAAAACGACCACAAUACCUGAACAGCUCCUGUGCGAUAAAUCUUGAUCGGAUUAUACCUCACAUUAGCGCGGAUUAGCCGCCGAAAGAACGGCAUCUGGAGAUGGCAGCGUUGGUCCAAAUGAAAAACAAACAACACCGUUGCAACCAGCCAUAUCCAAGCAUCAAAAAGGUGCCAUUCUUAUCCAUGUAACCCUUGUAAAUCAUGAACAAUUCACACCACCUCCCAAGCUGCAUCGUUUUCGAUACGACACUGGCCAUGCAAAGGGUGGAGGUUA
rnacentral:misc_RNA from 1 species